GACGAACGCUGGCGGCGUGCUUAACACAUGCAAGUCGAACGGAAAGGCCCCCAUCUUGGUGGGUGUGCUCGAGGGGCGAACGGGUGAGUAACACGUGGGUGAUCUGCUCUGUACUGGGGGAUAAUCUGGGGAAACUGGGUCUAAUACCGGAUAGGACCAUGGUGUAGGGUCGGGGUGGGGAAAGAUCGUUGGUUUGGGGCAGGAUGAGCGCGCGGCCUAUCAGCGUGUUGGUGGGGUAAUGGCCUGCCAAGGCGUCGGCGGGUAGCCGGCCUGAGGGGGUGGCCGGCCACAUUGGGACUGGGCUACGGUCCAGCCUCGUACGGGCGGCAGCAGCGGCGAAUAUUGCACGAUGGGCGCAUGCCUGAUGCAGCGGCGCCGCGUGGGGGAUGACGGCCUUCGGGUUGUAAGCUCCUUUCGUUAGGGACGAAGUCGCCCUUUUAUGGGGUGUGGUGACCGUACCUUUGUUAAGAAGCACCGGCUAACUACGUG
rnacentral:rRNA from 1 species